rnacentral:lncRNA from 1 species
GAGAACAGCCCGGCAGGUCCCGAGGCGCGGGCUGGGGACUGUGCCGCGGAAAGUUCCCAGUCCCCAGCCGCAGGUAAACGCAGAGGGAAUAGACAGAGGCUCCCCCGUUUGCAUCAGCAAAUGCGAAAACAUAAUAGCAACAGCAGCGGCAUCCUCUCUCCGGAGCGGGGUUUCCAAUGACGCUAACAUUCUUUUUCCUUUAAGUACAGAACGGUCCCCUGCGGCUUCCCGCUAAUGGAUGACCCGAGAGUGACACCGCCACAACCUGCGAGAAAAGGAGAGCCCCUUCCCCGCCCCGAGAUCUGCGGGAUUGAAAUGAAAAAAUCUUGAGCUCUUCCAGCUGACUCAUCAGAAUCCUGGAGCAAUUUUUUUUUUUUUUAAUGACGGGCCGAAUGUUGUGCUCUUCAGCUCUACUUCUCAAAGCAAGAAAAAGAACUUCUCAAACAAAUCUGUGAGAAACAGCAGAAAUUGUGCUCUUCCCACAACGUGAGGCCCUCAAAUAGAGAACAGUGGUCUUCACCUGGGAAGCAUCCUGGGAGCACCUGGGAACUCAAUGGUGGCAACAGAUGGAGAUUCUGGAAGGGGAAAUCGAGGUUUGAAACUUUUGGACCUCUCUUGACUGCAACAUGUUCCCUGGAAGAAUUUGCUGUGGCCAAGUUCAAGAAAGUUGUUGCCUGUGUUCUUCUCUAAGAUUUUGAUGGAUUCUUGUCUCACAUUUAGAUCUUUCAACCAUUUUGACUUUAUCUUUGUGCAUGGUGUGAACAAAUGGUUCAGUUUCAUUCUUCUGCAUGUGAAUUGCCCGAACAUUUCAUUUAUUUUAUUUAUUUUUUGCCCUAAUUUUUUAAUAAACAUUGUAGGAAGAAUGAUUCAAGGCAAAUUAAACAUUUAUUAUAAAACUUCUAUAGACAUUUGAUGGAUUUGCAGACUGGGAAUGUAUUUGAAUAGAUUUGUCAAACAAACAUCCAAUAAUGUAAAAUCUUUAACAUCAAAGUCUUCCUUGUGUUGGUGCUUAAAAAUGUUGGUUGUAACAUCUGUGUUUUAAUCUUGGCUCUACAUUUGCACCUUGAACAAAUUCUUAUGUCUUCUGAUCGCCAGUUUUCACAUCUAAAAAAGUCGAAUGAGAAAUAGGACCUUGUCAUAGGUUUAUUGUGAUUAAUAAGUGAAUAAUUCAUAUAAAAUGACAUUGUAAGUCUUCAUCAAAUAUUAAGUAUAAUAAUAAGCUAACUUUUAAUCUCUACCCUUGGAAUUUGUCCUUAAUAUAUUGUUGAAGUAUUAUUUAAGAAGAAAUUCUUGCAUCUAAAAUAUGCUGAACAAUUAUACAUUUGGGUGAUGGAUUAUCUCAUGGAACUCUUCUUUUUUUAAUUUUCUAAUCCUGGGUUUCAGGAAUCAAAAUUUGAAUUUAGAAAAGAAGUUAGGGAUUCCUGAGUGGCUCAGUGGUUUAGCGUCUGCCUUUGGCCCAGGGCACGAUCGUGGAGUCCCGGGAUCAAGUCCCAUUUCGGGCUCCCGGUGCGUGGAGCCUGCUUCUCCCUCUACCUGUGUCUCUGCCUCUCUCUCUCUCUGUCUCUCUCUAUCAUAAGUACAUAAAUAAA